AGCGAACGCUGGCGGCAGGCUUAACACAUGCAAGUCGAGCGGGCACUUCGGUGUCAGCGGCAGACGGGUGAGUAACACGUGGGAACGUACCCUUCGGUUCGGAAUAACGCUGGGAAACUAGCGCUAAUACCGGAUACGCCCUUUUGGGGGAAGGUUUACUGCCGAAGGAUCGGCCCGCGUCUGAUUAGCUAGUUGGGUGGGUAAUGGCCUACCAAGGCGACGAUCAGUAGCUGGUCUGAGAGGAUGAUCAGCCACACUGGGACUGAGACACGGCCCAGACUCCUACGGGAGGCAGCAGUGGGGAAUAUUGGAACAUGGGCGGAAGGCUGAUCCAGCCAUGCCGCGUGAGUGAUGAAGGCCUUAGGGUUGUAAAGCUCUUUUGUCCGGGACGAUAAUGACGGUACCGGAAGAAUAAGCCCCGGCUAACUUCGUG
rnacentral:rRNA from 1 species